CUCGCACAGCCCCAGCAGCGUGGAGAACCUGUUGGUCUCGUCUCACUUCCAGCUUCCUGCUCAACCUGCCAGGAGCCGAUCCCAGGAGAAGGCAUCUCAGCUGGGCAACCUCCUCGCCUGCCAGAAGCAUGAAAAAUGGCAAUUUAAUACAGAAGACAAGCAUGGGCAGAACACCUGGGUUCUGGAGAUGACAUCCAAGGUCCAAAGGGCUGAAGUCUGGUCUCCAGUGCACCCUGAUCCCGGCUGCCCCCUGCCUCUCUUUCCCCCCCUGCAUGAGAAAGAGACAAACGGUUCAGAGAGUCCUCACAGCAAUUGGGAUUUGGGCAGUCUGGGGAAUCCUCUUCAAAAGCUAAAGAGCCUGCAGGUGCUUCCAAGAGAAGGAGAAGGACUCCCCCUCUCUGCCCUCUAGCAGAACAGCAGCACUGACCAAAGCUUUUAAAAUAAAUCCUGAACAGACAUAUGGGAUCUCCCAGUCUGCUGCGUGCUGGUCAGGCAUCCAUUCGAUGCUGCACAAUUUGGGGUCCUCUAGCAUCUGAAGUGGCAUGGGAUUAUCUGUACUAUCAAUGCCUUCUUUUUUGUGCUAACUCUAAUAAAUCACAUUUUAAAUAAUACUUUACAGAGUCUGAGUGUCUUUCUUACUGGGAUGAACCAGGUGAGAAGAUGAAUGCAGAGCCCCAGGGCAUCACUCAAGUCUGUGUCCCCCUCUGCCAGAUGCUGGGCAGAAGUAACCUUAAUUCAUUGAAAUCCACUCCAUUACUAAAAAAAUCAACUGAUAUUCUAGCCAGGGGUAUUACAGCCAGGAAGAUUACUCCCUGCUCACAGCUCAGGCACAAUUUGAGCAGAAGACUUAACACGGCUGGGGGAAAAUAUCCUUUCAAGUUCCCAUCAGCUCAGGGCCAGCGCUUUUGGGGGGAAGGAUGGCAGCCCCCCUGUUUUCCUUCCCCCCCAAACCUGUAGCAUUGGAGAAGCAUCAGUCCCCCCAGGGCCAUGGUUGUCCCUGUGAUGUCACCCUGCCAGAGCAGGCAGAGGCUGGGUGAGUGCCCAGCUUGCUUUAACAUCCUUCAUGCUGGGGAGUCACAGGUCUGGCUGCCUCCUCCCGGGAAAGCCAGCAACAGGUGUUGUCCCCAGAAUGUCCCCUGAACUAUGCAACACGCUGCACCAACCGAGCAGCACAUCAGGGAGUGAUGGGGGAGUUUCAUGGAUGCUCUAAGCAAGCACAGCUGGGAGAUUAAUCCACAGAAAGUACAGCAAUCCCACACUGUUAAAUGGGAAUGGUGUCUCCAUGCAGGCAAAGCCAGGUCCCUGCAAAAUCAGCGCCUGUUCCUCUUCCUGCCAGGCUCCUCUCCAACGUCAGCAAAAUCAUCUGCUGACAACCAUGUAGAUACCACAAGCAGUUUCUGCCACCAGGAAUAAUUUACCACCGGGCUGGCUACCCCAGGGAUGCUGAGAGCUCUCUUCCAUCACUGGGAGCCUGCAAACAUUUGCAGAGCCAAUGCAAUGAGCAGUGAGCCAACAUGAGCUGCAGGAAUAAGCUAGAAAGGGGAAAGCCAAGACAAGGAUGUGUGGGCACAGGAUGGGAGAGGGGAUGGUCCCAUCAAGAAGGAAAAGAAAACGUUCCCUGUUCAAAGCGGUACAUACAUCCAUCUUUGCUUUAUUUUUUCCCUCCUGGCCCCAGCCAGCCUUGUUACUGCGUUUGGCUCAGAAAUACACAUCCCUUAUGGUGCCACUGGCCCCAGAAAGAACCCUGAGGGCUCCUGCACCAGCCCGUGGUCCCUCUCAUCCUGCGUCCCCCUGCUCAGAACCUCCAGUGUCACGUCGUGCCUCUGUUCUUCCACCUUGCACCAGUACAGGAGAGGCAUAAAUACUUCACUCCACACAGAUAAAUUGCUUGCUCCUAAUGGCUAUAUGAAACGUUGGCUACACCAGAUAAAGACAAGCAGAAGUAAAACAAAUUAGUCAUAGCCACUUGGUUAUGAAAAAGAUGCAGUUACAAUUAAAUCAAGGAAAAAACUAAGCUUCAGGCAGUUCAAGACAAGUUAAGACAAAGCAAGACUGGCAAAUCACAUUCCCGAGGCCCUACAAACCCAGCAGAAAGCCUGCAACCUGGCCCUAGCAGAGGUUGUGCUGCACUGACUGGGCUACAGCACCCAUAAUGGAGAAGGAGCCCACGUAAGACCUUGAUGGGGUCUGUGAAUGAUUCGUGC